UAAUACGAAGGGUGCAAGCGUUGUUCGGAAUCAUUGGGCGUAAAGCGCGCGCAGGCGGGCGUGCAAGUCAGAUGUGAAAUCUCGGGGCUCAACCUCGAAACUGCGUCUGAAACUGCAUGUCUAGAAUGUCGGAGGGGGCAGGGGAAUUUCACGUGUAGGGGUAAAAUCCGUAGAGAUGUGAAGGAACACCGGGGGCGAAGGCGCCUGCCUGGACGACUAUUGACGCUGAGGCGCGAAAGCGUGGGGAGCAAACAGG
rnacentral:rRNA from 1 species